UCCUUACAAAUUGAGGAGAAUCAAUUUCGGCUGGACAAAAUCCAAGAGAAGCAUUUGAAAUUUCCCUCGUAUUGAGAUUGCAGUUUGCUUUCCAUAACUACGCUGCUCCAGUUUUUCUUUCACUUUUGGCCGUAAUCCCAUUUGAGGGCACCGGUGGCUCCCAUCUCAGCCACAACAACCGCCGUGAGCGUGGCAACCCUAUUCCAACACGAAAGCAGAAACAAAACAGGUUUUGUGAUAGUGAAUGGCGUGGAAGGAAGUGAAGGAAAGGGUGAGAGCUCAAUCCCUUUUGGCACUCUUUAUUUUUUGUGUUGCAAUUAAAACAUGUUGUAAGUUGAAUGAUAAUGUAUUACAAAGCUGCCCUGCUAAUAAAAGUGUUUUCUUUCAGUGUUA